AUGGCCGACGCGGGUCAAAGGGUAUAGUAUCUGUUCUUAUCAGCUUAAUAUCCGAUGCGGGUUGCGUUUAGACCUAAGAUAUUAAACUUAUUUUUGCAAGGUGGCGGAGGGGUUAAGGCUUGCUUUACCUCCGCCGCGGGUCGGCUCGGUAUUGUAAUAUAUCUUUGGGAUCGGGCCCACGUAU